rnacentral:rRNA from 1 species
GACGAACGCUGGCGGCGUGCUUAACACAUGCAAGUCGAACGGAAAGGCCCUACUUGCAGGGUACUCGAGUGGCGAACGGGUGAGUAACACGUGGGUGAACUGCCCUGCACUUCGGGAUAAGCCUGGGCAACAGGGUCUAUUACCGAAUAGGAGACAUUUUUAAUGGGAUGGUUGGAAAGUUUUUUCGGUUUAGGAUGAGCUCGCGGCCUAUCAGCUGGUUGGUGGGGUAAUGGCCUACCAAGGCGGCGACGGGUAGCCGGCCUGAGAGGGUGGACGGACACAUGGGGACUGAGAUACGGCCCAGACUCCUACGGGAGGCAGCAGUGGGGAAUAUUGCACAAUGGGCGCAAGCCUGAUGCAGCGACGCCGCGUGGGGGAUGACGGCCUUCGGGGUGUAAACACCUUUCGCUAGGGACGAAGCUUUUGUGACGGUACCUAGAUAAGAAGCACCGGCUAACUACGUG